CCUGCUAGUUGUACGAGUUUAGACUCGUAGCAGAUAGCUCAGUAACACGUGGCCAAACUACCCUAUGGAUCCAGACAACCUCGGGAAACUGAGGCUAAUCUGGAAUACGACUCUCAUCCUGGAGUGGAGAGAGUCCGAAAUGCUCCGGCGCCAUAGGAUGUGGCUGCGGCCGAUUAGGUAGACGGUGGGGUAACGGCCCACCGUGCCAGUAAUCGGUACGGGUUGUGAGAGCAAGAGCCCGGAGACGGUAUCUGAGACAAGAUACCGGGCCCUACGGGGCGCAGCAGGCGCGAAACCUUUACACUGCACGCCAGUGCGAUAAGGGGACUCCAAGUGCGAGGGCAUAUAGUCCUCGCUUUUUGCGACCGUAAGGUGGUCGCGGAAUAAGUGCUGGGCAAGACCGGUGCCAGCCGCCGCGGUAAUACCGGCAGCACGAGUGAUGACCGCUGUUAUUGGGCCUAAAGCGUCCGUAGCUGGCCGCGCAAGUCUAUCGGGAAAUCUCUCCGCUUAACGGAGAGGCGUCCGGUGGAAACUGUGUGGCUUGGGACCGGAAGACCAGAGGGGUACGUCUGGGGUAGGAGUGAAAUCCCGUAAUCCUGGACGGACCACCGGUGGCGAAAGCGCCUCUGGAAGACGGAUCCGACGGUGAGGGACGAAAGCUCGGGUCACGAACCGGAUUAGAUACCCGGGUAGUCCGAGCUGUAAACGAUGUCUGCUAGGUGUGACACAGGCUACGAGCCUGUGUUGUGCCGUAGGGAAGCCGUGAAGCAGACCGCCUGGGAAGU
rnacentral:rRNA from 1 species